ACUGGUCUUCUGUUUCCACUGUCGCCUCGUGUGACACAAACUGCCACCUAUCUCCCAAGCUUAAUGCAGUUAAGUAACAAGAUCUUGGAAGACAAGUGUUGAAGGUGAAAGAGGCACAAGAUAGAAGAAACCUGGGUCCUUAGAUCCUUGCUUGGAGGAAAACCACCUGCCAAUCCAGAACAUCAUUUUGGACUUCAUGAAAACUUUAGCUCCUGUUGAGACCAACACCUUCCCUGGAGAAUGCAGAGUGAAGGGAUUAGGCCCAUCACAAUUUUCCAUUCAUGAUGUUGGGUCAAGCAAGGCAUCACACAGAAUGAAUAGAAACAGAAACAGCCCCACAUGUGAAGUAGGAGCCAUGCUGGAAUGAACAAGGGCCACGGUAUGGGUGAGUUACACGGUACAGAGCACAGGGGCUGACUGCUUUGUGCUCUUCCAGGUGGGAUCAUUACUUGCCAGCCUUCCAGCUGAUGCCAGUGGCAACAGCACGACAGGCUGAACUGGAUUCUUUAUGACUAUGUAUUCAUUAGGGGGAAAAAGCACUUCCAAUGCAAAUGAUUGAAAUGGAAACAAGAUGUGCACUCUGCUGCCUAAAUGAAAGCUCUACCAGGUAGGCCAUUCAAACUCAAUUAAGAGUAGCAAAACAGGAUCUAUCAGGACAGUGGCUGUAACCCCUGUCACAGAGAAUGGACAGUGAGCGGUCCAAAUGGAUUGGGGGGCAUGAAUGGCACCUGACUUACAGCAGGAGCUCAGCACUUUUACUCUCUUUGCCGCUUCACUGGAACCAGGAGAAAAAGACAUUAGGAUGAAGGAUAAUGUGUGAUACACACAUAAAGAUGAAAGCGAGAGGGACACAUGCAAUGUCACUUAUUGGAAGGACCACUUUAGGCUGCUCUGUCCUCUCUCCCCUGAAAACAUGUUCCACAUUGUUUUAACCAUCUGUGGCCCACUCUGGAGCUCAAGGAACCCUGGCCUUUCUGCUUUAUUGUGAGCACAGCCAUAUGAAACUGCAAUCUGGCAGCUGAAGGGGAAAGUACUUUUACUGUCUCUGCUGAGAAAGGGUUUGGAUGAAUCGAAUCCCCUGUUAUGCGUGAAAUUGUACCCUCUAGAAAGCUCUGUUGAUGACCCAACCCACGGUACCUGUGAAUGUGACCUUAUUUGAAAAUAUGGUCUUAUAAAUGUAAUCAAGCAAAGAUGAGAUGAUACUGAAUUAGGGUGGGCCUCCACCAACAUGACUGGUGUCCUUAUGAGAAGCAAGGAAGAGACAUAAGGAGAACAUGGUGUGACAAUUGAGACAGAGAUUGGAGUGAUGCAUCUACAAGCCAAGAAAUGUCAAGGGCCGUGAGCCACACCAGAAGCUAAGAGAAAGGCAUGGGACUGACCCUCCCCUAGAGCCAUCAGAAAGAGCCUGACCCUGGCGGCACCUUGCUUUUGGACUUCUAGACUCCAGAAUUAUGAGAAUAAAUUUGUGUUG
rnacentral:lncRNA from 10 species